rnacentral:rRNA from 1 species
UACGGGGGGGGCAAGCGUUGUUCGGAAUUACUGGGCGUAAAGGGCGCGUAGGCGGCCUUCUAAGUCGGACGUGAAAUCCCUCGGCUUAACCGAGGAACUGCGUCCGAUACUGAAAGGCUUGAAUCCGGGAGAGGGAUGUGGAAUUCCAGGUGUAGCGGUGAAAUGCGUAGAUAUCUGGAGGAACACCGGUGGCGAAGGCGGCAUCCUGGACCGGCAUUGACGCUGAGGUGCGAAAGCGUGGGGAGCAAACAGG